AUUGAACGCUGGCGGCAGGCCUAACACAUGCAAGUCGAGCGGAUGAAGGGAGCUUGCUCCUGGAUUCAGCGGCGGACGGGUGAGUAAUGCCUAGGAAUCUGCCUGGUAGUGGGGGAUAACGUCCGGAAACGGGCGCUAAUACCGCAUACGUCCUGAGGGAGAAAGUGGGGGAUCUUCGGACCUCACGCUAUCAGAUGAGCCUAGGUCGGAUUAGCUAGUUGGUGGGGUAAAGGCCUACCAAGGCGACGAUCCGUAACUGGUCUGAGAGGAUGAUCAGUCACACUGGAACUGAGACACGGUCCAGACUCCUACGGGAGGCAGAAGUGGGGAAUAUUGGACAAUAGGCGAAAGCCUGAUCCAGCCAUGCCGCGUGUGUGAAGAAGGUCUUCGGAUUUUAAAGCACUUUAAGUUGGGAGGAAGGGCAGUAAGUUAAUACCUUGCUGUUUUGACGUUACCAACAGAAUAAGCACAGGCUAACUUCGUG
rnacentral:rRNA from 1 species